UGACAGUGUCAGACAAUUGCUGUAUUGCUUGCUGUGUGCAGUGUACAUCGAAAAUAAUACAGAUGUAAUUUAGAAUACGUCUGCACUUCCUUGUCCUUUUACGAGAAUUAUCAUUCUGUAGAUUUGUCCUCAUACUGGCGAUUUACAAGCAGAAUUUCAGCCAUGCGACGACAUAGUCGAGGGCCUCGAGGCUGUUGUUGACCGUAGCAACUAAAAGCAAGUGGCAUCGUUGCUAGCUAGUGGCAUCAGUCGAAGAAUUGUCGUGUAGGAAGACAUUGUUGCUCAGGAGAAAGAACUUGUAAACGCUUUAGAGAGUCAAUUAGAUUGUUGCUUUCGUUCUGUUCUGAAAUGGUCUUAGUGAAAGUAUUUAUCAUGUUUGUAAUUCCCAUUACUUGCAUCAAUAUGAACUGCACACUUCGUUCAAGUGGGAGUGAGUCCAGUAAGAAGAUUGAUCCAUACCGUAUAUAUUAUAGACUAUUAUGGCUUUCACAAAGUUUCUUUGAACAAAUGAGUUCUUGAUACUGAAAGCCCAGAGAAAAGUAAGCAAUGUUAUUAUGUAUUAUUUGUGUGUUAUGACAGGAGGCCUCAUUGUUUAUACAAUAUAUGGAAGCUCCAUUAUUUCAGAUUUUUGCUAACAGUUUCGUACUUGGUAAUUUACUGUAGGCUCUUAACAUCCUCGGUUUUACAUUUUCCUUUUACCACUGAAAUGUUAGGCAGUCGGGAUGUAUUGGAUGUCACAUGCAAAGCAUUAUUAAAUAUUUCAAUAGAUAUGUUAUUGAUAUUUUGUUAGGCUACACCUGCAAAGCAUUCCAGCUGAUAAGAAUAAUGAAUCCUCUUUGGAGCAAAAUAUUAAAAACUGAAAGUUUACAAAGGGAAGCCUGCAACUGUUGAAGAAUUUGUUGAAAGAACAUUUUGUAAAGAUGUUAACAACAAUGGAAAAGUGUGCAGAAGUGAGGCUAGUUGUUUUGAUGUAAAUUAGUCAGUUUUGUAUUCAUUGUUAACAUGUUGUUUGGUGAAGUAAAACAAAACACUGAUGCUAUACUAACAAAUAGUCAAAUACCAUGAAUUGAUCUAUGUGCUUAAUAAUGUAAUGAUGAUGAAAUGCACCUUUUGAUAAAAAGCAAA